UAGGGAAGCUUCCGCAAUGGACGCAAGUCUGACGGAGCAACGCCGCGUGAGGGAAGAAGGAUUUAGGUUCGUAAAACGCUGUUGUUAGAGAAGAACAGCGCAUAGAGGAACUGUUAUGCGUGUGACGGGAGCUAACCAGAAAGCCACGGCUAACUACGUGCCAGCAGCCGCGGUAAUACGUAGGUGGCAAGCGUUGUCCGGAUUUAUUGGGCGUAAAGCGAGCGCAGGCGGUCAAUUAAGUCUGAUGUGAAAGCCCCCGGCUCAACCGGGGAGGGUCAUUGGAAACUGGUUGACUUGAGUGCAGAAGAGGAGAGUGGAAUUCCAUGUGUAGCGGUGAAAUGCGUAGAUAUAUGGAGGAACACCAGUGGCGAAGGCGACUUUCUGGCCAUAAUCUGACGCUGAGGUACGAAAGCGUGGGUAGCAAACAGG
rnacentral:rRNA from 1 species